GCAAACAGGAUUAGAUACCCUGGUAGUCCACGCCGUAAACGAUGUCUACUUGGAGGUUGUGGCCUUGAGCCGUGGCUUUCGGAGCUAACGCGUUAAGUAGACCGCCUGGGGAGUACGGUCGCAAGAUUAAAACUCAAAUGAAUUGACGGGGGCCCGCACAAGCGGUGGAGCAUGUGGUUUAAUUCGAUGCAACGCGAAGAACCUUACCUACUCUUGACAUCCAGAGAACUUUCCAGAGAUGGAUUGGUGCCUUCGGGAACUCUGAGACAGGUGCUGCAUGGCUGUCAAGUCAUCAUGGCCCUUACGAGUAGGGCUACACACGUGCUACAAUGGCGCAUACAGAGGGCGGCCAACUUGCGAAAGUGAGCGAAUCCCAAAAAGUGCGUCGUAGUCCGGAUUGGAGUCUGCAACUCGACUCCAUGAAGUCGGAAUCGCUAGUAAUCGUGGAUCAGAAUGCCACGGUGAAUACGUUCCCGGGCC
rnacentral:rRNA from 1 species